ACAGUACCGAUUACAUGUUCUUCAGGGAAGAUGUGUGUUACAGCUACUAUUUUAGCUACCUCAUCUGGAAAUACAACAACAGAAAUCUACAAGGCAUGUGCAUCUUCCUCCCUGUGUCCAGCUACGGGCUCUCAGACAUUUUCAGUCGACCUGGGUGUUCAAAGUGCUCUUGCAUCUGCCACGUGCUGCAACACAGAUAACUGCAACUCACAAACUCUGGCUGCUCCUACUCCUCAGUCAAGUAACGGCCAGCUAUGUAACAUUUGUUCC